rnacentral:rRNA from 1 species
UACGGAAGGUCCGGGCGUUAUCCGGAUUUAUUGGGUUUAAGGGAGCGCAGGCGGACUGUCAAGCGUGCCGUGAAAUCGCGGGGCUCAACCCCGUAGAGCGGCGCGAACUAGCGGUCUUGGUUGCGGGAAGGGGAGGCGGAACUCGUGGUGUAGCGGUGAAAUGCAUAGAUAUCACGAAGAACUCCGAUCGCGAAGGCAGCCUCCCGGCCCGCCAACGACGCUCAUGCUCGAAGGCGCGGGUAUCAAACAG